AACGCGAAGAACCUUACCCACCUUUGACAUGUACGGAAUCCUUUAGAGAUAGAGGAGUGCUCGAAAGAGAGCCGUAACACAGGUGCUGCAUGGCUGUCGUCAGCUCGUGUCGUGAGAUGUUGGGUUAAGUCCCGCAACGAGCGCAACCCUUGUCAUUAGUUGCCAGCAGAAGAUGGGCACUCUAAUGAGACUGCCGGUGAUAAACCGGAGGAAGGUGGGGAUGACGUCAAAUCAUCAUGCCCCUUAUGUCUUGGGCUACACACGUGCUACAAUGGUCGGAACAAAGGGAAGCGAAGGAGCGAUCCGGAGCAAAACCUCAUAAACCGAUCCCAGUUCGGAUUGCAGGCUGCAACUCGCCUGCAUGAAGUCGGAGUUGCUAGUAAUCGCGAAUCAGAACGUCGCGGUGAAUGCGUUCCCGGGUCUUGUACACACCG
rnacentral:rRNA from 1 species